AUUGAACGCUGGCGGCAGGCUUAACACAUGCAAGUCGAGCGGGGAAAGGUAGCUUGCUACCUGACCUAGCGGCGGACGGGUGAGUAAUGCUUAGGAAUCUGCCUAUUAGUGGGGGACAACAUCUCGAAAGGGAUGCUAAUACCGCAUACGUCCUACGGGAGAAAGCAGGGGACCUUCGGGCCUUGCGCUAAUAGAUGAGCCUAAGUCGGAUUAGCUAGUUGGUGGGGUAAAGGCCUACCAAGGCGACGAUCUGUAGCGGGUCUGAGAGGAUGAUCCGCCACACUGGGACUGAGACACGGCCCAGACUCCUACGGGAGGCAGCAGUGGGGAAUAUUGGACAAUGGGGGGAACCCUGAUCCAGCCAUGCCGCGUGUGUGAAGAAGGCCUUUUGGUUGUAAAGCACUUUAAGCGAGGAGGAGGCUACCGAGAUUAAUACUCUUGGAUAGUGGACGUUACUCGCAGAAUAAGCACCGGCUAACUCUGUGCCAGCCGCCGCGGUAACAC
rnacentral:rRNA from 1 species